rnacentral:rRNA from 1 species
UACGGAGGGUGCAAGCGUUAUCCGGAUUUACUGGGUUUAAAGGGUGCGUAGGUGGGUUGGUAAGUCAGUGGUGAAAUACUUUCGCUUAACGAAGGAACUGCCAUUGAUACUACCAGUCUUGAAUACAGUGGAGGUAGGCGGAAUGCGUCAUGUAGCGGUGAAAUGCUUAGAUAUGACGCAGAACACCAAUUGCGAAGGCCAGCUUGCU